AAUUGGAAAGGUAGGUCAAGGUAAGGUAAGGUAAAAAAAAAUAACAGGUGUUUAAUCAAUGUACAUAAAUAGAGCUAAUUGGAAAGUUAAGUCAAUUAAGCUAAAGUAAGGUAAUUAUCUGCAGGUAUAUAUAUAACAGGUCUAAUUUAACAGGUAUAAUUAACAUCUACCUUAUGCUCCUGUUAAACUUUAUUGACUUAGAUUCACAUAUUUAUCUUUUUUUUCAUAUAUAUAUAUAUUUGUAUACGGUAAACUUUAAGUAACUGUACAGGGAAAGCGCAAAUAUAUGCACACUGUAUUUAUGUUAGCUUGGCAAGUAGGCUCCUCCCCCUUUCUUAAAUACGAGUCUAUCAUUGGCCAGUCCACCAGCAAGCCACGCCCACUCUCAAACCUAGGCUGCACGUGAUUGGUCGAGGCUGGGAAAGGCUAAAAUCUCACUGGUGGAUGCUGGGAGAGGUUGAAUCUCAUUGGUGGAUGCUAGGAGAGGUUAAAUCUCAUUGGUGGAUGCUGAGAGAGGUUGAAUCUCAUUGGUGGAUGCUGGGAGAGGUUGGAAUCUUACUGGUGGAUGCUGGAGAAGGUUAAAUCUCAUUGGUGGAUGCUGGGAGAGGUUGGAAUCUUAUUGGUGGAUGCUGGAAAAGGGUUAAAUCUCACUGGUGGAUGGUGGGAGAGGUUAAAUCUCACUGGUGGAUGGUGGGAAAGGUUAAAUCUCAUUGGUGGAUGCUGGGGAAGGUUGAAUCUCAUUGGUGGAUGCUGGGAGAGGUUGGAAUCUUAUUGGUGGAUGCUGGGAAAGGGUUAAAGCUCACUGGUGGAUGCUGGGAAGGGGUUAAAUCUCACUGGUGGAUGCUGGGAAAGGUUGGAAUCUUAUUGGUGGAUGCUGGGAAGGGGUUAAAUCUCACUGGUGGAUGCUGGGAAGGGGUUAAAUCUCACUGGUGGAUGCUGGGAAAGAUUAAAUCUCACUGGUGGAUGCUGGGAAGGGGUUAAAUCUCACUGGUGGAUGCUGGGAAGGGGUUAAAUCUCACUGGUGGAUGCUGGGAAGGGGUUAAAUCUCACUGGUGGAUGCUGGGAAGGGGUUAAAUCUCACUGGUGGAUGCUGGGAAAGGUUGGAAUCUUAUUGGUGGAUGCUGGGCUAGGGUGGAUGGGCCUUAACUUGCCAAACUAACGUGAAUAGAGCAUUAUAAGUGGUAGCUCAGAAGAUUUAUAGAGUAUAGUUUUAACUUCCUUAUAACAUACUGAGAUAAUUUUUUUGUACAUAUGAAAACUUAAUACGGAGUCGAAAAUAAUAAUGAUGACUACUUGUGCAUGAAGAUAAUAACAUAUACUACUACUAAUAAUAAUGUUUUUUUUUGUGUGUGAUCUAACUGAAUGAGACAUUGCUAUGCUAUUCUAUGUACGUAAAAAUUAUGUAAAAGAAUGUACGAAAAAUUCAUGGAUGCCUUACAAACUGAUUAAGACUUAGUGCAAUAAUUGACAGAUCUUACUUAAAAAAUAUAUAUUACCGUAGAGACUAAGGAAGGAAAGCAUUGACGAGAACACACACAAACAAACAAACGAAUAAACUGAUAUAAACGCAAAACAAAAUUGGAGAGAAAAGGAAAAUACAACACGGAGGUAAAAAAAAUUGGAGAGAAAGGAAAAUACAACACACGGAGGAAAAAAAAAAAUUGGAUUAAGGAAAAUAAAAUGGAGGAAAAAAAUCAAAACGAGAAAACAAACACAAAACACGACAAAAAUAGAACAACAAUAAAACAGUGAUAAAACACACACACACACACACACACACACACACACACACACACACACACACACACACACACACAAACACACACACAGAUACAGAGAGAGAGAGAGAAUUUACAAUGAAAAAAAAAAUGUUAAUGAUAAAAAAUGCAUUAAAUUUUGCAAAAGAGGAGGAAGAGGAGGAGGAGGAAGGGGAAGGAAUGGGAGGGGAGGGGAGGGGAGGGAUGGGGAGGGAAGGGAAGGGGUCAAGGUGAUGAUUGGUAAAUAAUAAUAAUAAUAAUAAUAAUAAUAAUAAUAAUAAUAAUAAUAAUAAUAAUAAUAACAAUAAUAAAAAAAAUAGCUUCACCUCACAUUCCUUCUUCCUUCCUCCUCCUCCUCCUCCUCUAACUACCCAAAUCUACCCCCCCCCCACCCCCAUAUCACCCUUUUUUAAUAUAUCACAAACUCCUUUAUCACAUUAUUUAACACUUUUUACAUCCUUUUGCACUCAUGAAUCAUUUAAUCCUAAUUGUACCUCCUGACAGUAACAUAAUCGCGUCCACAUUACCUUGAAAGAACCAUUAUAUUAGAGUAUGAAGACUACCCUUACCUUAUCAGUCUCUCUUAAUGGUACAGAUGGGCAAACCUAACCUUGACCCGGUGCCUCGGAAACAUGGGAGGAUGAGAGGCGUUAAGCAUACAAGGGAUGACCUAACGCAGUGUAUUGGUAUCAGCGACUUUGAUGAGACUAAUGAAGGUGGUGUUCUGAUUUCGACGGCAUAUGAGGGCUGAUUUCUUGCUGUGUUUUGUGGUGAAGCAAGUUAACUGUACCUCCUCAUAGUGACGUGUGUGUCCAUUACCUUGAAAGAACCAUUACUUUAACAUACGAAGACUACCCUUACCUUAUCGAUUUUCCUUAACGGUACAGCUCAGCAAACCUAACCUUUACUCUGUGCCUUGGAAACAUGGGAGGAUGAGAGGCGUUAAGCAUACAAGGGAUGACCUAACGCAGUGUAUUGGUAUCAGCGACUUUGAUGAGACUAAUGAAGGUGGUGUUCUGAUUUCGACGGUAUAUGAAGGCUGAAUUUUGUGGUGAAGCAAGUUAACUGUACCUCCUGAUAAUGACGUGUAUGUCCAUUACCUUGAAAGAACCAUUAUUUUAGCGUACAAAGACUACCCUUAGCUUACCAGUCUCUCUUAACGGUACAGCUCGGCAAACCUUGACUCGGUGUGACUCGGAAAAACUACCAUUAGAAUUUGAACAUCUCCAGCAGUCGCUUAUAGAUAAAUAGAAGUAAAAUUAAUAGGUUACUGUUAGAAUGCUGUUACGUAUAAUAACAAGAAGAAAAGUGAAGUGACGUCAAGAGAAAGAAGAUCCAGAGAAAGAAAAGAGAAAAAGAAAAUAAAGAAAAAGAGGAAAGAGAAGAAAAUCCCGAUCUCAUUUACAGAAAGAAGAAUAGAAAAAGAAAAAGAAUGAGAGCAAAGAAAAUCCAAAUAUCAUUCAGAGCAAGAAAGAAAAAAGAAAAGAAAAAGAAAAUAGAAGAGAAAUUUAAAGAAGGCGAAGAAAAGGAGAGAAAAAAACUAUCCUGAGGUAAUAAAAAAAUAAAAGAAAGUCCAGAUCUAAUUCCAAGCAUUCACAAAUCAACUAAAAAUCUCAUUAUGUGGAAUUUAAAGAAGAAAAGGAGAGAAAGAACUAUCCAGAGCUAAUUAAAAUAUAAAUAAAUAAAGAAAAAACAAAACAAAAAAUCUAUAAUUCCAAGCAUUCACAAACCAACUGAAAAUCUCAUUACAUAGAAUUUAAAGAAGAAAAAAAAAAAGGAGAGAACAGACUAUCCAGAGUUAAUUCACAAAAAAAUAAAUAAAAAAUAAAUAAAUAAAAUAAAUAAAAUAUCCAUAUCCAAUUCCAAGCAUUCACAAAUCAACCAAAAAUCUAAUUACGUAUCAUUCCCUUCAAGAUCAAAUCCUCAUUAUGUAUAUCGACCAUAUGCUAAUUAUACAUGUACUAAUUGCCUAAGGAGACUAAUGUAUACUCGGAUCUAUACAUCUAAAACACUAUAUGGUAUUGUAUGUAUAUAUAUGAGUCUUUUGGAUAUACUCUCUCUCUCUCUCUCUCUCUCUCUCUCUCUCUCUCUCUCUCUCUCUCUCUCUCUCUCUCUCUUCAUUAACCCUUAGUGAAUAUGUAACAAUUAUAUAUUUGAGCAUUCUUAUCAACAACUAUUAUCAUUAUUAUUAAUAUUAUUACUAUUAUUAUUAUUAUUAUUACUGAAAGCUUAUUUGUAAGUUAUCUGAAGUUGUAUAUAACAGUAAGAUAAUAUACUGUAUGGUAAGAUAAGGUUAGGUACACAUAUAUAUGCUAUUACGCACACAUAUACACACAUAGAUUGGAGGAGGGAAGGAAGGGGAGGAAGGAGAGAGAAGGAGGGAUUUCUCUCUCUCUCUCUCUCUCUCUCAGCUCUUCCUUCGUUCUUAAAAAAAGGAAGAUAUUGAUGGAGGAGGAAGGAGGGAAGGAAAAGUGGAGGAAAGGAGGGAUAUGGAGGUAACUUUCUCUCCUCUCUCCCUAUUCUUUCCUCCUCUUUCUCUCUCUCUCUCUUUCUCUCUAGCAUUCCCUUAUUUCUGAGAGUGGGAAGAUACGGAGGAAAGGAGAGGAAAGGAGGGAUAUGGAGGUAACUUUCUCUCCUCUCUCCCUAUUCUUUCCUCCUCUUUCUCUCCCUCUCUCUCUCUAGCAUUCCCUUAUUUCUGAGAGUGGGAAGAUACGGAGGAAAGGAGAGGAAAGGAGGGAUAUGGAGGUAACUUUCUCUCCUCUCUCCCUAUUCUUUCCUCCUCUUUCUCUCCCUCUCUCUCUCUAGCAUUCCCUUAUUUCUGAGAGUGGGAAGAUAUGGAGGUAACUUUCUCUCCCUUUCUCUCUCUCUCUCCCUCUCAACCCCUCCUCCUCCUCCUCCUCCUCCUCCUUACUUUCUUAUCUUGUUGCCUCGGGAAGAUAGCGGAGAUAGAAAGAGCGAACAUCAAGAUUAUUCAGCGAUUUCUCAACGAUAUGCCCCACUGUGAACACACACACACACACACACACACACACACACACACACAGGAUGCCGCAAAGCAAUAUAGAUAAAGACUGAGAUGUUUGUCACUUGAUAUCCUCCUCCUCCUCCUCCUCCUCCUCCUCCUCUUCUUCUUCUUCAGCAUUAUCUCCAUUCUUCACCACCCCUCCUCCUCCUCCACUGCACCUGUUUGCUUAUCAACGCCCCCAGUCAAAGUGUUUUUCUUGUGUGCUACGUAAAGCGAUCUCGUAACACACUUGUUCUGUGACGCCCUCUCUCGGAAAUGUCUCUCCUGCAUGCUUAGAUUGUUAUGGGUCCUGUCUGUCCCCUCGGCAACACACACACACACACACACACACACAUAUACAUACAUGAGAUAAGUCUAUAUAGGGAAACGAUGGAUUGGAAAAGAAAUAUAUGUUGGUAGUAAAGUUAGUUAAAUCCUUUCGGUAUAGGUUCAUUUCCUUAGCAAAACACACAUGAAGCUUAUGAAGGAAGGAGAUUAGUUGUAAUAGGAAAAGAUUUGUAAGUUGAUAAGAGUAUUUAGAAAGAGUUAAAUCCUUUUGCUAUAGGUUCAUUUCCUUAGCAAAACACAUGAGAUGAAGCUUAUGAAGGAAGGAGACUAGCUGAAUUAGGAAAAGAUUUGUAAGUUGAUAAGAGUAUUUAGAAAGAGUUAAAUCCUUUUGCUAUAGGUUCAUUUCCUUAGCAAAACACAUGAGAUGGAGUUUAUAAAGGAAGGAGACUAGUUGAAAUAGAAAAGAUUUGUAAGUUGAUAGAGUAUUUAGAAAGAGUUAAAUCCUUUCGGUAAAUGUCUUAGAUUUGUAUAGCAACACACACACACACACACACACACACACACACACACAUGGGUUAAGGACUAUAGAUGAAGAAGAUUGAGGAUUAGCAGAGAAAAUGUGAGCGGAAAAGAAAUCUAUGUUGAAAGAGAAGUUAGGUUGAAGUUAAAUCCUUUCUGUAUAAAUUCCCAUAGUAAUAUACAUGAGAUUCAAUUCUAUAUAGGAAGAUGUGAUAGGCAAGAUGAGAGAGGAGGCAGGUUAGGUAAGGUUAGGUUAGGUUAGGUAGAUUAGGUCAGGUUAGGUUAGGUUAGGUUAGAUAGAUUGUCAGGUCAGGUUAGGUUAGGUUAGGUUAGAUUGAUUAGGUUAGGUUAGGUUAGAUUGAUUAGGUUAGGUUAGGUUAGGUUAAAUAGAUUAGGUCAGGUUAGGUUAGGUUACAUUUUGAAGGAGAGACAAGGAGUUAGGUUAAGGGGGGUUGAUAGCAUAGUUAAAGAGUUCAAACCUUUCUAUAUUAACUCCCAUAGCAAUACAUAUGAGAUUCAAGUCCAUAUAGGAAGAUGUGAUAGGCAAGAUGAGCAAGGAGGCAGGUUAAGUAAGGUCAGGUUAGGUUAGGUUAUGUUUUGAAGGAGGGGCAAGGAGUUAGGUUAAGGGGGGUUGAUAGAAUAGUUAUAACCUUUCUGUAUAAACUCCCAUAGCAACACAUAUGAGAUUCAAGUUAGGAAGGAAAAUGUGAUAGGAAAGAUGGGAAGGGAGGCAGGUUAGGUUAGGUUAGGUUAGGUUAGGUUAGGUUUUGAAGGAGGAGUGAGGAGUUAGGUUAAGGGAGGUUGAUAGAAUAGAGUUAAAUCCUUUCUAUAUAAAUUUCCAUAGCAAUACAUAUGAGAUUCAACUCCAUAUAGGAAGGAAAAUGUAAUAGUAGAGAUGAGAAGGGAGGCAUGUUAGGUUAGGUUAGGUUAGGUUACGUUUUGAAGGAGGAGUGAGGAGUUAGGUUAAGGGAGGUUGAUAGAAUAGAGUUAAAUCCUUUCUAUAUAAAUUUCCAUAGCAACACAUAUGAGAUUCAACUCCAUAUAGGAAGGAAAAUGUAACAGGAGAGAUGAGAAUGGAGGCAAGUUAACCCGGUAGCAGCGAUGGGCCAAAUUUUUGCCAUGAUAUAAACCCCCCAAAAUAGAUGAUGCAUAAACUGAUCACAAAUGCAUUGAUAUAUAUUAUGAAAUGGUUUGCGCGAGUGAUGAUUUUUUCUCGUUAAUUCUCUUAGAGGGGCCUUUGAGAAACGUGAUCCCUGCAGCUACCGGGUUAAGUUAGGUUAGGUCAGGUCAGGUUAGGUUGGGUUAUGAAGGAAGGGACAGGAGUUAGGUUAAUUGUGGUUGAUAGCAUAGUUAGAGUUAAAACCUUUCUGUAUAGGGUAUUAUAUAAGUCUUACGUUUGUGUCCAUACCAACACACACACACACACGAUUAAACUCCAUACCCAAUACUCUUACAAAUCACCACCACCUACUUCUUCCUCCUCCUCUUCUACCACCCCUUCGUUUUAACACAUCGUUGUCGGGGAAGCGUAACGGAAGUGCUUGGAAGCGUAGAGCAAGAUAAAUACAUGCUUGUCUGACCUUAAUACUGUGACCUCCUUGUCCUUGUAGCUCAAUCAGUUAACUCGUUGAUGAUGGAAGAACGCAACUGACUCGGGAAAACGCUUGGUAAUAAGAAUGAUGGCUAGAGGGAAAGAUAUCAUUGAAUAAACUUAAUGACAGAGAGGAAAAUGAGAUUGAGCCUAUAAUACUAAUGAAGACUUAAUGACUGCGAGAGAAAAAGAAAUCACUGAGUCUGUAGAUGAUAAUAGACUUAAUGAUAGAACUAGAGGGAAAUGACAUUGACCCUAUAGAUAAAAAUGGAGACUUAAUUAUAGCAAGAGAAAGAUAUCAUUGACCCUAUAGAUAAAAAUUGAGACUUAAUGACUGCAAGAGAGAAAGAUAUCAUUGAGUCUAAAUAAUAAUGGAGCUUUAAUAGUGAGAAAGAUGACAUUGAGCUCAUUGAUAACAACAGAGACUUGAGACGGAGAGAGAAAGAUGACAUAGAGCAAAUAACAUUGAUGGAGUAUAUUUGAAGUUGGUGGAUGAUCUGAAGACCCUUGAAGUUUUGAUAGAGAAAAAUAGAUGGAUUAGUUGAUAGAAAAGGUGGAGCUAAUGACAUUGAUGGAGUAUAAUUGAUGUUGGUGGAUGAGUUGAAGAUCCUUGAAGUUAUGAUAGAGAAAAAUAAAUGGAUUAGUUGAUAGAAAAGGUGGAAAUAAUGACAUUGAUGGAGUAUAAUUGAUGUUGGUGGAUGAGUUGAAGAUCCUUGAAGUUAUGAUAGAGAAAAAUAAAUGGAUUGGUUGAUAGAAAAGGUGGAGCUAAUUACACUGGUGGAGUACAAUUAUUGAGGUUGGUGGAAGAUUUAAAGAUCGUUAAACUUAUAAUACAGGAAAACAUUAAGAUCGGCUGCUACAUAGGUGGAAGACAAAGGGAGUUGAAUGUUACUGAAAGACAAAAAAAAAAAAAAAAAAAAAAAAAAGAGAAAUAAUGCUGGAAAUAAGAAAAUCCAGCAAUAGGGUGGCAGAAGGAGGAUGGAGGGGGAUCUAAUACUAUAAUCUCUUGAAUGUGUCUGGUAGAUUGCACACGGAUGGCUGAACACCUCUUGAUAAGGUUAAAAAAAAAAGAAAAAAGAAAAGAAAACCUGCAUGCUUUGUAUAAAAAAAAAGGUGAGUUAUGAGAAAGUGUGGAAGAAAGACCGGACAUUUAAUACUACACUGCGUUGAUAGAUUCAGAUUGCACAUGGAUGACUAAAGACCUCAGAUCUCUUACUUAAACACCUCCUCGGCCGCCACCGCCUCCUCACCGCCGUCCGCCUGAACAACAACAACAACAACAACAACACCUCAGACACACAUACACACCUGACGUAAAGUAUAAAUAUAGUAAUCUGAAGCGCCUCCUCCUCCCUCGGAAUGCCUCCUCCUCUUCCUCCUCCUUCUCCUCCUCCUCUUCUCCCCAGCCCGCCCUUAGCCUAAGCUAAAGAUGUCUAAGCUGAACUUCCCGGGCUUUUUCCGAACCAAGUUGACGGCCACUGAAAAGACGGAGAGUGACAAGAAUUAAUGAAGGGAAACUAUAAGAGUGGAGAGAAUUAUUACUGUUUGACUCUUAGGAUUUACGAAGGGGAAGACGAGUGUGGCAAGUGUUACCGUAGUGAACACUGAGUGCCAGGGCCAAACCCUGUCAGGGCAGGGCAGCGUGCCAAUUUAGCCACCAGUGAGUUAAAAGGUCACCGAUACUUGACAUCCCCACCCCAUUGCUGACAUGGGGUUAAGGUGACCCCACUUACACUUGUGGUAGCUGGAGACACUUAACCAACCUCUUUGGGAGCAAUAGUGUGAGCUGGGUCACCUUAACCCUUCAUGUCCACAGUGGGGACGGGGGCGUCAGGUACUGGCUGGGUGACCUUCCAGCUCACCAGUGGCUCAGUGUGUGUGCUGUCCUGACUCCUCCUCAGAGGGUUCAGUCCCCAGCACUCACUGGUGUUCACUGCAGGAUUUUUCUACUGCGUCAUUGCAGUUUCCCUGAUAAGAUAGUGACAAGUACUAAUAAAGGUGAUGAUAACUGGUGCUUUAAUAACUAGCAAAAGGAAAAAACAGAAUAAUAAAAAUCAAAGCGUCAAAAGGCCAGGAUGACACGUGUUACCACAGCUCAUUCCUUUCAUCAACCAGUCCGGGAAGGAAGGCUGAGCAGGCCUGAGGCUGCACCCAGGCCCCAAGAUUAGUAGCCAGGCAUGCUGUACACUACGCUGCAUCUCAACUACUUAUACAGGGAGGAAGAAUAACUGUUUUGUGAAGGAAAAAGUAAAGUAGAACUAACUAAUACCCAUAGAAAUUAAGACUCAAAGCAUUGGGAAUAAAACAGAGGGAGAAUCUAACUAACUAACCAAUAUUAAAAGUCCAAGAAAAUACUGUAAGCUUUUAGGAAUAUUUUACUGGAGCGGUUAGUAAUAGUUUGGGGUUACAGGUCAUGCAAUACAACACGGCAACAACUUCUGCUGCAUGCACGGAGGCGUAUAAAAAGACAGUAUAAAAAGAUGCUUAACAAUACUAUAUGAACUUGCGAAGGUAAACUAGUCAUUGGCUUCAACAGGUUAGCCUAAGGAGGUAAGGCCAGUCCCACAGGUCCACGGGUCGACACAGCAAGUUCGGAACCUCAUAAGACCCACAUAAGAUACCGUGAAAAUGUAAGAAAAUCAGUUUGGGACUCUGUGUGUGUGUGUGUGUGUGUGUGUGUGUGUGUGUGUGUGUGUGUGUGUGUGUGUGUGUGUGUGUGUGUGUUUACCUAGUUGUAGUUUUACGGGGCCUGGGCUUUACGCUCGUGUGGUCCCGUCUCCGUAUCUGCAUUAUCCAACUUUUCCUUUGAGCCUUGCACACUCCUCGUCGACACUUCAUCCUCACUUAGUCUGUUCCAAACCUCUAUAUUUCUUUGCGGGAAGCUAUAUUUCUUUACCUCUCUCAAGCAUCUUCCCUUCCACAAUUUAUUACUAUGUCCUCUUGUGUUCCUGGUGGUAAUUCCUUCUUUUAAUACUAACUCCUCGUUGUCUACUUCUUCCAUUUUGCUCAAUAGUUUAUAGAUUUGUACUAGGUCUCCCCUUUCUCUUCUUUGUUCUAGUGUUCGUAAGUCCAUUUCCUUUGGUCUUUCCUUGUAUGUCAAUCCCUCCAGCUCUGGAACCAUUUUUGUUGCCAUCCUUUGUAUUCUUUCUAGUUUCUUUAUGUGUGUGUUUAUGUGUGUGUGUGUGUGAAGGGGUCAGCUCUUCAAUUUGGAACUCUGUGUGUGUGUGUGUUUGUAUGUUAACCCAGUAGCAGCGACGGGCCAAAUUUGUGGCUUUACCGUGUAGCAGUGAUGGGCCAAAUUUGCCAUGAUAUAAACCCCACAAAACAGAGGAUACAUAAUCUGAUCACAAAUGCUUUGAUAUAUAUUAUGAAAUGGUUUGUGUGAGUGAUGAUUUUUUCUCAUUUUUCUCGCUUAGAGGGGCCUUUAAGAAACAUGAUCCCCGCUGCUACUGGGUUAAGGAGUCAUUUCAGGGGCAUGUUAUAAGAAAAUCCAUAAAAAAACACAAUAAUGAAGAGUCUACUGCAUUGAGUGUUGAGCAGAUAACCUAACAAUUAAGAACCAUAUAGAAAAGCAUAGUUUCAUCGGUGCUUGUGGUGACCAAGUACGGCUCUGUGGAACUGGCCUUUAAUCUCAACACGAACAGAAAAUUAAUGCUAAUAAUACUCAACUCUGCCCUAGGGAGUUACACAGCAGAACACAGUAAGCCUAGGAUAUACAGCAGUCCCCCUGACAUUCAUAAAGGAAAACGAGAAGAGGAAGAACAUAAGAACGUAAGGAGUCUGCAAGAGGCCGGUUCACUAGUUCGCUUAUACAAGGCAGCUCCUGUAAGCCUCACCCCACUUUACCUCACUAGUAAACAAAAAAGAGAAGAGAAAGAAGACUAGGAAUGAUGUUUAAGGUGAGGGAACAUUUAGAUUUAGAUACAGCACUAACAACAUUGAGUAUCUUAGGAGUUUGCAAAGGCUCUAGGUCUCUGCCCCCAACCUCUUAUGAAUGAAAGAAGAGGAAGAAGAUUGGAAAUGGGUUUAACUUUAAUUGAUGUGGGUGAGUGAACAUUUAAAUUUAUAUAUAGCGCUAACAACAUUGAGUAUCUUAGGAGUUCUCAAAGCCUCAAGGUCUCUGUCCCCAGCCUCUUAUGAAUGAAAGAAGAGGAAGAAGACUGGAAAUGAGUUUAACGUUAUUUGAGGUGAGUGAACAUUUAAAUUUAUAUAUAGCGCUAACAACAUUGAGUAUCUUAGGAGUUCUCAAAGCCUCAAGGUCUCUGUCCCCAACCUCUUAUGAAUGAAAGAAGAAGAAGAUUGGAAAUGGGUUUAACGUUAAUUGAGGUGGGUGAGUGAACAUUUGAAUUUAUAUAUAGCGCUAACAACAUUGAGUAUCUUAGGAGUUCUCAAAGCCUCAAGGUCUCUGCCCCAAGCUCUUAUGAACGUCAGAGGAUUGAUUGAUUGACUAAGUUGUGGGGUCACGGCGUCGCAACUGCAGUGGUCAAAUUUUUUUUUUUAUUUACAGUAGAGGAAACAGUUCAAGGGAAAAAAAUAAAUAAUAA